CCGGUGAAACCCGUCAUUCACGGCCCCCCCGUCGUUCAAAAAGCUUACCUCAAUCUCAACAGCUUCCCCUGCUGCCCCUAUCUGCCGCAUGUGUUUGCUCAUGGACGGGGGAAUUGCCCGACGCGGGUGUUUUUGUGUACGUUAGACCUCGACGUACUCUCCAGAGGUAAUUAGACCAUCUGCCGGCCUGUUUGCGCUGGCAUAUAGAUAAAAGUGUGUCCUGGCACACCGCCACACAGCUGCCCCGCGCACUUACACAUUUUGUCAGAUGUUCGGCGCGUUUGAUGUGCGGAACGUUUCCAUCUGUCCUUCUCUUUUUUUCAUGUUAUACUCGUAAAAACGUACAUGGGUUAUCAUUUUAACCUUUUGGAUUUCGCAAAUUGCAUCGAUGGCCGGGGUGUGUGGGUGUGUGUGUGUGUGUGUGUGUGUGUGUGCGUGUGCGUGCGUGUGCGUGCGUGUGUGUCUGGUGUGUGGGCUUGCAUGUAACAAAAGCAAUGUUCAUGGUUUUCGUUGCUGUCAAUCCUACCGACUGUUUAGAUCCAAAUUGGGUCGUUUAGCAGCCACUUUAUCCAGGGAGCCUGCAAAGAAUCAGCGCAUGCAAUGGAAAUUGGUGUAAUGUGCUGCACGCCCUGAUAUAAAUAAAAACUGCAGCGUAGCUAUAGGAGACUGAACCAACCAAGGUCAGCCCAUGAAAGAAAGCAGAAUCAGAAAUAUUUUAUUCAUGAAAGUGACUUGGUUAGGUUGUUUCAAGAAGUAUUCAAAUUAAGUAUAAAUUAACAUUAUGUAAAAACUAAGUAAUAGAAAGCUAUAAAAGAUUUAGGCUGGGAAAGGCUUAGAGGCAAUGAGAGGGCUAGAGGUUAUGCAGCCCUAUUCUAUAUUUACAUAAAUGUAAAUGAAUAUACAUUUACCUGUCGGUGUAUAUACAUUUGUAUUGCACAUUGCUUUUUUGACAGGGGAGAUUAGAUUUGUGUGUGUGUGAGUGUGUGACAGGGUGGGGAGAAUGGAAAUGUAACUUUACCUUUACAUUUAGGGCAUUUAGCGAACUGAAUUACAUUUGUCACAAGAUAGAGAAGCAACAAUAUAUCGCUGUUGGUACAAUAAGGAUGUUCAUAGAAACAAGUGUCCAGCACGAAAUACCUAAUAUAUGAUGCAAUAAAUAUUUCAUAAAUAAUAAUAAAUAGAUAAAUAUAAAUAGAUAAAUGAGUCAAUAUAGGUUAAGAAAUUAUUCUACAUUUUUAUUUAUUUUUAAAGGAUAUUUUGGGGCAGAAAGUGGCUCUGAUUCACAUACUUCUUCAAACCGAUUUUGAUAUACUUGGGCGCGUCUCAGUGUGUGAGAUUAGGGCAGUUCAUGUGUGGACCCCCACAUGUUCCUAUGAGUCGCCUCAUUUAUUUAUUUGACGGUUUCUUUCAUAGCCGUAUUUAUUGAUGUAUUUAAUAUUGACCUAUUCUUGUAUUCUUGAUGGUGGGGGGAUGAUCCCGACCACCUGAGGUCCUGGGACGUCAAUGUCCCCAGGGGUCUGAGUGACCCCCUCAGUUUUAACCAGGGAGGCCCACUCGUUGAGGGCCAGGAGUCUUAGUGACCCCCCCUCAGUUUUAACCAGGGAGGCCCACUCGUUGAGGGCCAGGAGUCUGAGUGAGCCCCCCCAGUUUUAACCAGGGAGGCCCACUCGUUGAGGGCCAGGAGUCUGAGUGAGCCCCCCCAGUUUUAACCAGGGAGGCCCACUCGUUGAGGGCCAGGAGUCUGGGUGACCCCCCAACGUUAACCCGGGAGGCCCAGUCGUUGAGGGCGGGCGUUGGGGCCGGGCUCCUCCUGAAGUCUGUACAGUGUACUCAGCGUUUAGCUAUGCGCUGCACCAGGAAGCCAGGCGGUCCACUUCCUCUUGGGAGGCGUGUCCAUCCCCGUCAGAGAUUAAUCCAAUGAGGGGUCAUGGUUCUACAAACUUCAGUGGUUGGGUUGUCUGGAGGUGCAGCUGUUGGAGUACAGUAGAUGGAGGAGGACAGAGACAGAGCAAACAGUCUUGGGGGACUCCAGCGCUGAAUGUCCGCGGCUCAGAGACGAGCUCUUGGUGGCUCAUGGGUUCAAAUCAGAGACAUAGCAUCCCAACCAAGUGCAUUCCCAAUUCAACAUAACCGCUGAAAUAAACAAAAGUGCAAAAGAAUAAGUAAUAUAAAUGAAUAAGCACUUGUGGUUCACCGGGACCAAGAGGAAGCCAGCAGGAAUCCACUCGAGGAAGCAGGUCGAUAAUUACGUCGAUCAGAAAAAGAGACUUUGAAAGAGUUUUACUCUGCUUGAAGCUGUCUCGAGGAUAGGCUUCAUGCAGUCACACAACUGAUUUCCAUAAAAAGGUGCAAAAUGCAUUCCCACUCAAGGGUGAAGAAUGAGCCGUUUAACGCGAGACACUCCUCAAGUGGCACAUGGUGGUUUUAAAUGGAAUCUCUUAGAGGACGGUUAAACCUCAGCGGUUCUUGGCGCCAACGAUCGUCAUGCUGAUGUCGUGUGUGGCUCCCCUGAGUGCAGGGUACGUGUGUGGGUGUCUGGGCGUGACUCAGAAAGAGUGACGCGUGGAGAGACGUGGAGACGGGGAAAAGGACGGGAACGUCGCUAGAAAGACUUGACUGAAAAUGAGCGUUGAGAAUCAAAAGAGCGGCAGAGAGACGCAGGCCCCCGUCAAGGGCACCUCGCACACGUUAGUGUGAGGCAGACGGAACCGAAGCCUCAGCCCACGGCGACACAUCUGACUCUGGUUUCAGACCACGUCUCUCCGCUCUUUGCUUGGAUAACCGCGGUUCCCUCCGGGGGGAUAUUUAUUGCAUUUAUUUUUUGGUAUUUCAACCAUUUCUUCGACCUUUUCGAAGUGAAGUCCAAAGCUGUCACCGUGUGCGCCUGUUGUCACCCCCUCCGCGCCGACGCUCCUCUCUGUGUGCGAGUGUUGUCAGUCGGAGCGCGUGCGCCCCCUGUGACGAGCGCCGGAGGACGUUUGCUCUGGAAGCAAACCCCCCCCCCCCCCUCCACUCCUCUGUCAAACACACAGGGAGAGGGGGACGGGAACGGGUAUGGAGCCAAAUGAACCGCUACCUGCAUACCGGUGAACGCCCCCCUCCCCUCCCCCCGGCCCCCCCUGUUUUAUAACAUAAGGGCGCCCCCCUCUGUGAGGGGUGACCGCCCCACAGCGGGACCAGAGAGGUGUCAUUCUGUUUUGAUCAGCAGUGAGUCUGGAGAGGCGGAUCCGCGUCGCCGCUGAUUUUGGGAUGACAUGCUGGAGUUCACCGUGGAAAGCUCCGCACAUGAAGUACUAACUGGUUCCACAUGCAAGGCACCAGAGUCCAAGGGCACCCCCCCCCCAAACAACACACGCACGCACGCACAUGAGGCCACUCUCCCUCACCCUCUCUCUCUGUCUCUCUCUCUAUCUCUGUCUUUCUGUCUUUCUCUCUCUAACACUCAGAUUCACACUCUCUCAACACACACACACACACACACACACACACACACACACACACACACACACACACACUCGCGCAUUUCCAAGAGAGAGGGGGGGGGGGGCGCUAUGUUAUCUAAGAGGAGAAGAGGGGUUUUCUCUGUGCUCUUAAGACAGGGGUAAUUCCAUCCUCCCAGUGCUUAUCAUGUUCAUCUUGAUCCAGCUUGGCCGAGCCCCUGAGAGGGUCUUCACUCCGGGGCUGAGGUGAUCACUGGGGAAAGAGCCCUCCAGGUCAUGCAAAGACAAACAAGUUAGAAGGGCUGUCAUUAAGAAGCCGAUGGCGCUUAUUGGGACAAAGCACCAGGGAGACUCUUGGAGGUUAAAAGGUGUUUCCUUAGUGAAAUGAGCCUAGAAUGGGAUGUUAUUCCAAUGUUGACCAUAUUAAUUUGUCGCCCUGUGUUAAGUUAUUAAUGUGGAAUGCACACCAAUCCCUGGGGGCUCAGUAUGUCAUGGAAACAGGGAUUCAAGAUGUCCUUUUAUUCAUUUUCUGCACAUAUUCCCUGUGUCUUUUUUGUGUGUUCUAACAAAAAUAACAAUUUAUUUAUUUGUAACUUUCCUCAUUCAUAGUCGGCAUGCACUCCAGUGGUCGUAAAAAUUAAAUAAAGCUGUUAUUCAAAACAGCUUUUGAAUUUAUUCAUAGCACAUCAUGGCAAUUUCCCAUUAUCAAUGUUGUUGAAAUUAUCCGAGAAUCCUCCCCUGUAAGUGCACUAAGAAUAUUGAUCGCCAAGGCUAUCAGGGAGGUGGUCCUGAACACUGCCAUAAAUGAUAGGGAACGAUCAUUUGAAAUCUGGUUGUAA